rnacentral:rRNA from 1 species
AUGGGGGGAACCCUGACCGAGCAACGCCGCGUGAGUGAAGAAGGUUUUCGGAUCGUAAAGCUCUGUUGUUAAGGAAGAACGAGUGUGAGAAUGGAAAGUUCAUACUGUGACGGUACUUAACCAGAAAGGGACGGCUAACUACGUGCCAGCAGCCGCGGUAAUACGUAGGUCCCGAGCGUUGUCCGGAUCUAUUGGGCGUAAAGCGAGCGCAGGCGGUUAGAAAAGUCUGAAGUGAAAGGCAGUGGCUCAACCAUUGUAGGCUUUGGAAACUGUUUAACCUGAGUGCAGAAGGGGAGAGUGGAAUUCCAUGUGUAGCGGUGAAAUGCGUAGAUAUAUGGAGGAACACCGGUGGCGAAAGCGGCUCUCUGGUCUGUAACUGACGCUGAGGCUCGAAAGCGUGGGGAGCGAACAGGAUUAGAUACCCUGGUAGUCCGCGCCGUAAACGAUGAGUGCUAGGUGUUAGGUCCUUUCCGGGACUUAGUGCCGCAGCUAACGCAUUAAGCACUCCGCCUGGGGAGUACGACCGCAAGGUUGAAACUCAAAGGAAUUGACGGGGGCCCGCACAAGCGGUGGAGCAUGUGGUUUAAUUCGAAGCAACGCGAAGAACCUUACCAGGUCUUGACAU